UGCUCAGAGCCAUACCUUCACUCUCCA
rnacentral:piRNA from 1 species